rnacentral:lncRNA from 1 species
AAAGACCAAGAUGCUCUCAUCCUCUCAUACUCCCAAAUAAUAUAAAAUGGAGUGGUUGAAACACCCAUCAAGACCCAAACAAAUUAUCAUCACUUAUAAACUUAUAAACAUUGACCCCUUCACCUUUUCUUUUAUUAUAAAUUCAAAUCACUUUUAUAUUUGAUCGUCUCAGGUGUUCAUGGUAGGGUCUUCAAAGAGACUCGUGGAAUAAUCUAAUACCUAAGCUUUCUACAUGCAACUAGAAGGCCUAAAUCAUGUUGACAAAGUGGCCAUGCGAGUUGAAAGAUUAAGAUUACAAAGUUAAAGCUUAUGUAGGAGAAAGACAAAGAAAGAGUGCAAUUAAUGAAGUUCUUAGAAAAAGGAAAACAAUGACAGAAGAGCAGAUAAUUGAAUGACUUUGAAGACAAAGUCAAUGGUAGAGAAGGUCCAGUGUAAUGUUUUUGAGAUAUUAACAGUUUCCAGAUAAUUUAAUUGUUACCAUAGGAAACAUAUUAAUUACUUUUGAUCGACAUCACGUUAUCACCUCCAUAGUCGCUCUUAUUCUGGAUAAUUGUCAAAACAUUGUUGAAAUUUCUACGUUUCUAGAAUCCUUCUUUCAAGACUUUGAAGUUUACGCCUAUAUGCCUGGGCCUAGGCUGUCUUUCAGAUGUGAAAUAAGUUAAAUUUACUGUUACUGUUUAAAAUAAAUGUAGACAGUUUUAUUUUGUAAAUUAUGUGGUUCAUUUUUUGUGAUAUUUAUUUCUCUUAAUUAAUAUCUUGGUUUUAAUACUAGUGAAAUUAAUUUAUUUUUUUUCAAUCCAGUUUGAAAAAUAAUUACAUAUGUAAUUUUUCAUCUUAAGUGAAAGGGGUGUAGAAAAAACCCUGAAAAAGGAGGAGAAAAUGAAAAAAAAAGUGGUGGAAGGAUCGUUGAUGUAAGAGAGAAGAAAGGAGAAAUGGAUGAUGAAGAAGAGAUAAAAAGAUGGUGGAAGGUGAAUGAAAAAAAAGAAAAGGCCAAAGGAGAAAAGGAUAGUGAAAGGUGGUAGAUGAUGGAGGAAAGAAAGAAAAAUAAAACAAACAGUUAUUUUCAAACUAUGUUUACACGCAUCUCUAACGAAAAUGAUCACAUUAAAUGUUCUUAAAUAAAAUAAAAUAAAAACUUAAUUGAAGUUAAAUAUUUACUCCUUAAACUUAUUAUUUACUUCCUAAAUAAUGAAAAACUUUAUUUUAUUUCAUAGUUAUGUAUGUAGACAAUGAUGUACUACUUAUAUAUAUAUAUAUAUAUAUAUAUAUAUAUGGGUUUGCUAACGCUUAUAUGUCUGUUUUUCAGUUGGUAUAUUUUAACAAUGUAUAUCAGGUUAUAGUAGACAAAAAUACCUUCAUACAUUAUGAAUUCUAAGUUUUAAAGUUAAAGGUAUUUAAAUAAUUUUCAUUCUCAAAAUUAAAAAAAAAAAAAACAAAAAACUCCCAGACCCUUACUCAUCUCUCUCAUUCCUCUUAAUAUUUUCUCUUUCAUCAAUCUCACUCGAAUCUUUUCUCUGUCAUGUCUAUUGUAGCCCC